GAGCGGCGAACGGGUGAGUAACACGUGAGUAACCUGCCCCUGACUCUGGGAUAAGCCUGGGAAACUGGGUCUAAUACCGGAUAUGACAUCUACCCGCAUGGGUGGGAUGUGGAAAGUUUUUUCGGUUGGGGAUGGGCUCGCGGCCUAUCAGCUUGUUGGUGGGGUAGUGGCCUACCAAGGCGACGACGGGUAGCCGGCCUGAGAGGGCGACCGGCCACACUGGGACUGAGACACGGCCCAGACUCCUACGGGAGGCAGCAGUGGGGAAUAUUGCGCAAUGGGCGGAAGCCUGACGCAGCGACGCCGCGUGGGGGAUGACGGCCUUCGGGUUGUAAACCUCUUUCAGCAGGGACGAAGUUGACGUGUACCUGUAGAAGAAGCGCCGGCUAACUACGUGCCAGCAGCCGCGGUAAUACGUAGGGCGCAAGCGUUGUCCGGAAUUAUUGGGCGUAAAGAGCUCGUAGGUGNNUUGNUGCGUCUGCCGUGAAAGCCCGUGGCUUAACUGCGGGUCUGCGGUGGAUACGGGCAGGCUAGAGGCCUGGUAGGGGCAAGCGGAAUUCCU
rnacentral:rRNA from 1 species